ACGUAGGGAGCGAGCGUUGUCCGGAAUUACUGGGCGUAAAGGGCGUGUAGGCGGACUUUUAAGUAGGGUGUGAAAUCUACGGGCUCAACCUGUAGCUUGCAUUCUAAACUGGGAGCCUUGAGGGCAGGAGAGGAAAGUGGAAUUCCUAGUGUAGCGGUGAAAUGCGUAGAUAUUAGGAGGAACACCAGUGGCGAAGGCGACUUUCUGGACUGUACCUGACGCUGAGGCGCGAAAGCGUGGGGAGCAAACAG
rnacentral:rRNA from 1 species